rnacentral:rRNA from 1 species
AGCAGCCGCGGUAAUUCCAGCUCCAAUAGCGUAUAUUAAGGUUGUUGCAGUUAAAAAGCUCGUAGUUGAAUUUCGGGAUCAAUAUAUUGGUCAUGCUUAGGUAUGUACUGGUAUUAUUGAUUUCUCCCUUCUGAAGAACCAUGAUGUCAUUAAUUUGAUGUCGUGGGGAAUCAGGACUGUUACUUUGAAAAAUUAGAGUGUUUAAAGCAGGCUUUCGCUUGAAUACAUUAGCAUGGAAUAAUGAAAUAGGACGUUUGAUUCUAUUUUGUUGGUUUCUAGGAUCGACGUAAUGAUUAAUAGGGAUAGUUGGGGGCAUUAGUAUUCAAUUGUCAGAGGUGAAAUUCUUGGAUUUAUUGAAGACUAACUACUGCGAAAGCAUUUGCCAAGGAUGUUUUCAUUAAUCAAGAACGAAAGUUAGGGGAUCGAAGACGAUCAGAUACCGUCGUAGUC